GUCUACAGCCACACCACCCUGAACGCGCCCACGCCUGAACUCGUCUCAUCUCAGAAGCUAAGCAGGGUCAGGCCUGGUUAGUACUUGGAUGGGAGACCCCCAAUAAACUCUCAGGAAAGAUGAGUAUG
rnacentral:rRNA from 1 species